rnacentral:lncRNA from 1 species
UCCAGUGGCCUACCCCUCUACUGGUCCUGCCAACAUGUUGGUGCUAUACGCUGCUUCAAAUAUAAAAUUGGUUUGUCUAUUGUGUGUGCUCAUUUAAUAGCUUAUGAAAGGCCUUUUUGUUAUAUGGCUUUUUUUUUCUAGUUUUAUGAACUUGAUUACUGUAAUAAAGUCUUGUUUGUAGCCAUGUAACUAUAAACAUAGUCUCUUGAUGUCAGUAAAUUUGCAUUUGAUAUAUUAGUUGAUGGAAUUGUUGUUUUAGGACAUUCUUUGACUACUUAUCUGUCCAGCAUCUUAUUAACCUAAAUAUUGUGAUCGUUGUUUGGAAAUCUGUUCUCUGGAAAGAAUAAAAGCAUUUACUUCACAGCUAAUGUGUUUGCAGAUUUGAAAAACAGUUUCAUUAAAGCACCAUUGCUCUCUUU